UAUAAUUCUGUAAGCUACAUUGCUUGACAAAUAGUACUGAUACCUGCAGUUGUUUUGUAUUCAGACACAAUUUCAUUUGCACUAGUAGACAAUUUGUUGUGGAGAUCCGAGUUGAUGGUGCGUGUGUGUGUAUAUUUACAGCCAAGUGUAAAGACACCAAUCCGAAAUGGUGUCGAGACUGGAUGAAUUACGCAAAAAGGGGAAUAUGAUACUAUGCGAAAGAAAACUGCCCGACGGUUUCCCGCAAGAAAAACAAAAGAAAUGAAAAUCUGUUUCAAGAAUGGAUGAAGAUUCAAACACGGGAACUCGUCGACUUCCACUAAAAGUUGUAAUUAUUGUAAUGUCGAUCAUAUUGAAAUUGUUAAAAUAAAACAAUCUCAGCAGUA